AGAGUUUGAUCCUGGCUCAGGACGAACGCUGGCGGCGUGCUUAACACAUGCAAGUCGAACGGAAAGGCCCUUCGGGGUACUCGAGUGGCGAACGGGUGAGUAACACGUGGGUGAUCUGCCCUGCACUCUGGGAUAAGCCUGGGAAACUGGGUCUAAUACCGGAUAGGACCGCAUGCUUCAUGGUGUGUGGUGCAAAGCUUUUGCGGUGUGGGAUGAGCCCGCGGCCUAUCAGCUUGUUGGUGGGGUAAUGGCCUACCAAGGCGACGACGGGUAGCCGGCCUGAGAGGGUGACCGGCCACACUGGGACUGAGAUACGGCCCAGACUCCUACGGGAGGCAGCAGUGGGGAAUAUUGCACAAUGGGCGCAAGCCUGAUGCAGCGACGCCGCGUGAGGGAUGACGGCCUUCGGGUUGUAAACCUCUUUCAGUAGGGACGAAGCGAAAGUGACGGUACCUACAGAAGAAGGACCGGCCAACUACGUGCCAGCAGCCGCGGUAAUACGUAGGGUCCGAGCGUUGUCCGGAAUUACUGGGCGUAAAGAGCUCGUAGGUGGUUUGUCGCGUUGUUCGUGAAAACUCACAGCUUAACUGUGGGCGUGCGGGCGAUACGGGCAGGCUAGAGUACUGCAGGGGAGACUGGAAUUCCUGGUGUAGCGGUGGAAUGCGCAGAUAUCAGGAGGAGCACCGGUGGCGAAGGCGGGUCUCUGGGCAGUAACUGACGCUGAGGAGCGAAAGCGUGGGUAGCGAACAGGAUUAGAUACCCCGGUAGUCCAA
rnacentral:rRNA from 1 species